rnacentral:rRNA from 1 species
UACGGAGGGUGCGAGCGUUAAUCGGAAUCACUGGGCGUAAAGCGCACGUAGGCGGCCAGAUAAGUCAGAUGUGAAGGCCCCGGGCUUAACCUGGGAAUGGCAUUUGAUACUGUCUGGCUAGAGUAUGGUAGAGGGGGGUGGAAUUCCAGGUGUAGCGGUGAAAUGCGUAGAGAUCUGGAGGAACACCGGUGGCGAAGGCGGCCCCCUGGACCAAUACUGACGCUGAGGUGCGAAAGCGUGGGGAGCAAACAGG